rnacentral:rRNA from 1 species
AUGAACGCUGGCGGCGCGCCUAACACAUGCAAGUCGAACGGUUAAAGCACCUUUUAGGUGUGUAUAAAGUGGCGAACGGCUGAGUAACACGUGGGCAACCUGCCCUCCUCUUGGGGAUAGCCUCGGGAAACCGAGGAUAAUACCCGAUACUUCAAUGUGGCCGCAUGACGACAUUGAGAAAGCUUUUGCGGAGAAGGAUGGGCCCGCGGCCUGUUAGCUUGUUGGUGGGGUAGAGGCCUACCAAGGCAAUGAUGGGCAGCUGGGUUGAGAGACCGACCAGCCAGAUUGGGACUGAGACACGGCCCAGACUCCUACGGGAGGCAGCAGUGGGGAAUCUUGCACAAUGGGCGAAAGCCUGAUGCAGCGACGCCGCGUGCGGGACGAAGGCCUUCGGGUUGUAAACCGCUUUCAGCAGGGACGAGGCGAUAAGUGACGGUACCUGCAGAAGAAGCCCCGGCUAACUACGUG